rnacentral:rRNA from 1 species
AGGACGAACGCUGGCGGCGUGCUUAACACAUGCAAGUCGAACGGAAAGGCCCUGCUUUUGUGGGGUGCUCGAGUGGCGAACGGGUGAGUAACACGUGAGUAACCUGCCCUUGACUUUGGGAUAACUUCAGGAAACUGGGGCUAAUACCGGAUAGGAGCUCCUGCUGCAUGGUGGGGGUUGGAAAGUUUCGGCGGUUGGGGAUGGACUCGCGGCUUAUCAGCUUGUUGGUGGGGUAGUGGCUUACCAAGGCUUUGACGGGUAGCCGGCCUGAGAGGGUGACCGGCCACAUUGGGACUGAGAUACGGCCCAGACUCCUACGGGAGGCAGCAGUGGGGAAUAUUGCACAAUGGGCGGAAGCCUGAUGCAGCAACGCCGCGUGCGGGAUGACGGCCUUCGGGUUGUAAACCGCUUUCGCCUGUGACGAAGCGUGAGUGACGGUAAUGGGUAAAGAAGCACCGGCUAACUACGUGCCAGCAGCCGCGGUGAUACGUAGGGUGCGAGCGUUGUCCGGAU